rnacentral:rRNA from 1 species
CAGCAGCCGCGGGAACACCGGCGGCCCGAGUGGUGAUCGUGAUUAUUGGGUCUAAAGGGCCGUAGCCGGUUUGGUCAGUCCUCCGGGAAAUCUGAUAGCUCAACUAUUAGGCUUUCGGGGGAUACUGCCAGACUUGGAACCGGGAGAGGUAAGAGGUACUACAGGGGGUAGGAGUGAAAUCUUGUAAUCCCUGUGGGACCACCUGUAGCGAAGGCGUCUUACCAGAACGGGUUCGACGGUGAGGGACGAAAGCUGGGGGCACGAACCGGAUUAGAUACCCGGGUAGUCCCAGCCGUAAACGAUGCUCGCUAGGUGUCAGGCAUGGCGCGACCGUGUCUGGUGCCGCAGGGAAGCCGUGAAGCGAACCACCUGGGAAGUACGGCCGCAAGGCUGGAAACUUAAAGGAAUUGGCGGGGGAGCACAACAACGGGUGGGAGCCUGCGGUUUAAUUGGACUCAACGCCGGACAACUCACCGGGGGCGACAGCAAUAUGUAGGCCAAGCUGAAGACUUUGCCUGAAUCGCUGAGAAGAGGUGCAUGG